rnacentral:rRNA from 1 species
GUCUACGGCCAUACCACCCUGAACGCGCCCGAUCUCAUCUGAUCUCAGAAGCUAAGCAGGGUCGGGCCUGGUUAGUACCUGGUAUGGGAGAUACAGUGGUGAGCAAAGCAAACAUUAAUCCGGUCCUCGUGAGCC